UUUGGUCGUCAUCUCUAAAAUAUGUUUACCUUUUGUUUUGUUGAACACCAGACAUCUCAUCUCUUUCCCACAGUUUUUUUCCACUUAGUUCCACUACUGUUGUGGAUUUUAUAGUCAAUGUUUAAAGCCAACAGAGUCUGAAGCGAUGGAGGAAAUUUACGUCAAUAUGGAACCUGUAGGACAAACUGCAUCUAAUCACACAGGUUGGAGCAGCUCCAAAGAGAGGCUCUGCCUCCGUGCGGCUGUCUGUUUGGGAAUCCUGAAUGUCUUACUUUUGGCUGAACUCAUCGCCCUCAGCGUUCACACUCAUGACAUGACAGCAGAUUUUUCUGACAUCAGCAACAUUCUGACCGAGCAGAACAGCAGCAGCAAGUUUCCCUCCAUGAUCGCUAACUUCACUGAAACGGCUCCACGAGCUGAAGACACUUAAAGGGAAAUUGUGUCCUACAGAACGAACAAACAUCAGUUGUUCCUGUUCAUCCAGGGGCCACAGAAGAAGAGAAGAGGAGAUCCACUAGUGAUGGAUGAUUAGGAUCUGUGUUCACUGUGAUAUUAUUCACCAACAAUAAUGUAGCUUAUUAGUAUGGUGUUACAUAAAACCCUAAAGAUAAAA